CCUCCAGUAGCACCUUAGAGACCAACUAAGUUUGUUAUUGGUAUGAGCUUUUGUGUGCAUGCACUUAGUUGGUCUCUAAGGUGCUACUGGAAG